GACGAACCGUGCGAACGUUAUUCGGAAUCACUGGGCUUAAAGGGCGCGUAGGCGGACUGCCAAGUCCGGGGUGAAAUCUUUCGGCUUAACCGGAAAAGGGCCUUGGAAACUGGCGGUCUCGAGGGAGGUAGGGGCCUGUGGAACUUCGGGUGGAGCGGUGAAAUGCGUUGAUAUCCGAAGGAACGCCGGUGGCGAAAGCGACGGGCUGGAUCUCUUCUGACGCUGAGGCGCGAAAGCCAGGGGAGCAAACGGG
rnacentral:rRNA from 1 species